rnacentral:SRP_RNA from 1 species
GCCGGGUGCAGUGGCGAGUGCCUGUAGUCCCAGCUACUCGGGAGGCUGAGGUGGGAGGAUCUCUUGAGUCCAGGAGUCCUGGGCUGUAGUGCGCUAUGCUGAUCGGGUGUCUGCAUUAAGUUCAGCAUCAAUAUGGUGACCUCCUGGGAGCAGGGGACCACCAGGUUGCCUAAGGACAGGUGAACCAGCCCAGGUCGGAAACAGCCGGUCAGAACUCCAGUGCUGAUCAGUAGUGGGAUCAUGCCUGUGAAUAGCCACUGCACUCCGGCCUGGACAACAUAGCCUUGCUAA